rnacentral:rRNA from 1 species
UACGUGAGGGGCGAGCGUUGUCCGGAAUUAUUGGGCGUAAAGAGCGUGUAGGCGGUUCGGGUAAGUCUGCCGUGGAAAACCUGGGGCUCAACCCCGGGCGUGCGGUGGAUACUGCCGGGCUAGAGGGUGGUAGAGGCGAGUGGAAUUCCCGGUGUAGCGGUGAAAUGCGCAGAUAUCGGGAGGAACACCAGUAGCGAAGGCGGCUCGCUGGGCCAUUCCUGACGCUGAGACGCGAAAGCUAGGGGAGCGAACAGG